UACGUAGGGUGCAAGCGUUUGUCCGGAAUUAUUGGGCGUAAAGAGCUCGUAGGCGUCUGUCGCGUCGAAUGUGAAAACCCGGGGCUCAACCCCGGGCCUGCAUUCGAUACGGGCAGACUAGAGUUCGGUAGGGGAGUCUGGAAUUCCUGGUGUAGCGGUGAAAUGCGCAGAUAUCAGGAAGAACACCGGUGGCGAAGGCGGGACUCUGGGCCGAUACUGACGCUGAGGAGCGAAAGCGUGGGGAGCGAACAGG
rnacentral:rRNA from 1 species